rnacentral:rRNA from 1 species
GACAGAGGAGCCAAGCGUUGUCCGGACUGACUGGGCGUAAAGCGCACGCAGGCGGCGCUGUGCGUGGGGUGUGAAAGCUCUUGGCUUAACUGAGAGAGGCCAUCCCAUACGGCAGCGCUCGACGCGGUGCAGAGAUCCCGCGGGAAUUGCCCGGUGGUAGUGGUGAAAUGCGUAGGAGAUCGGCAGGAACACCCAGGGGGAAACCAGCGGACUGGGGCCAUCG